GCUGUGGCUCAUUGGUAGAUCACCUGCCUUGCAUGCAGAAAGUCCCAGGUUCAAUCCCCAAUGGCAUCUCCA